rnacentral:rRNA from 1 species
AGUGAACGCUGGCGGUAGGCCUAACACAUGCAAGUCGAACGGCAGCACAGUAAGAGCUUGCUCUUACGGGUGGCGAGUGGCGGACGGGUGAGGAAUACAUCGGAAUCUACUUUUUCGUGGGGGAUAACGUAGGGAAACUUACGCUAAUACCGCAUACGACCUACGGGUGAAAGCAGGGGAUCUUCGGACCUUGCGCGAUUGAAUGAGCCGAUGUCGGAUUAGCUAGUUGGCGGGGUAAAGGCCCACCAAGGCGACGAUCCGUAGCUGGUCUGAGAGGAUGAUCAGCCACACUGGAACUGAGACACGGUCCAGACUCCUACGGGAGGCAGCAGUGGGGAAUAUUGGACAAUGGGCGCAAGCCUGAUCCAGCCAUACCGCGCGGGUGAAGAGGGCCUUCGGGUUGUAAAGCCCUUUUGUUGGGAAAGAAAAGCAGCAGGUUAAUACCCCGCUGUUCUGACGGUACCCAAAGAAUAAGCACCGGCUAACUUCGUG